rnacentral:rRNA from 1 species
CCGCAUCUGUGCAUGCAGCAUAUCAAUAAGCGGAGGAAAAGAAACUAACAAGGAUUCCCUUAGUAACGGCGAGUGAAGCGGGAAGAGCUCAAAUUUGAAAUCUUCAAGGUUUUACCUUGACGAAUUGUAGUUUAAAGAAGUGUUUUCUGUUGAAGUUUUGGUAAAAGUUCUUUGGAAUAGGACAUCAUAGAGGGUGAGAAUCCCGUAUUUGACCAUUAUUUUCAGCUGUGUGAUACACUUUCAAAGAGUCGGAUUGUUUGGGAAUGCAGUCCAAAAUGGGUGGUAAAUUUCAUCUAAAGCUAAAUAUUGGCGAGAGACCGAUAGCGAACGAGUACCGUGAGGGAAAGAUGAAAAGAACUUUGAAAAGAGAGUUAAACAGUACGUGAAAUUGUCAAAAGGGAAGCGUUUGACACCAGUGUUGUUUUCUCGAAAAUCAAUUAAAAAGAGUUAGAUUUUGUUGUGUAUUGACCUUAACAGCCUGCAUUUCAAUUUUCUUGCUUUUUUUAAUGCACUUUUCGUUUAACAAGUCAACAUCAGUUUCUUUUGUUGUAAAAAGGUCAUUGGAAGGUGGCUUUCUUUUCGGAGAAAGUGUUUAUAGCCUUUGACUCCUGCAAUCGGAGAGACUGAGGUCUGCAGCAUAGAUCCUUCGGGGUUAGAUACAUUUGUGCUAAGUUAUAGCUUUUUAUAGACAACUUGUUGACUAUGAUUAGUCUUGUAGCUUACUCGCUUAUGCUAUUUUACCUACGCUUAGGAUGUUGAUGUGAUACUGCGAGCA